CAUGUCAUCACUUCAUUUUUUUGCGCCUGCGCAUAAAUCUGAGAAACGUGAGUUUGUCAUAAUUUUUUAUCUAGACAUAGGAUAGGUUGUGUGAAAAUAUUACUGAUGUUUAACGUUAAAAAUGGACCAAAAGAUUAAUGCUAAACAACAUUUGACAUGUUUGAACGAACAUAAAUAGAUUAUUUACUAGGUUUUUUUAUCUUUUCGGCGUGAUUUUACCAGCCCCCACCACGUUUUGUGGGAGCAUAAUGAACGCUAAGUACUUGGUGUUAUUUGGACAUAAAUUAUGAACUUUGUCAAAAGAAACCACAUUUGUUCCGGACCUGGAAUGCCUUCCGGACCUGGGAUCCUGCCCUCUGAUGGAGAUAAUCAAAGACAAGGGGAUCAGACUCCCUCCCUAGGACAACCAAGUCCUGCCUCAUCUGUUGGUGUCGCCCAUCUGCCAGUUCGUCUUGUUUGUUUAAGUCAACCAGCGUUUUGUCUCAGCUCCUGCUUUUCCCCAGUUUCUCUUUUUGUCGUCCUCCUGGUUUUGACCUCUGCCUGACCUGACCCUGGGCCUGCCUGCCGUCCUGUACCUUGGCCCCACUACUCUGGAUUAUCG
rnacentral:lncRNA from 1 species